rnacentral:rRNA from 1 species
UGACUGCGUACCUUUUGUAUAAUGGGUCAGCGACUUAUAUUCUGUAGCAAGGUUAACCGAAUAGGGGAGCCGGAGGGAAACCGAGUCUUAACCGGGCGUUAAGUUGCAGGGUAUAGACCCGAAACCCGGUGAUCUAGCCAUGGGCAGGUUGAAGGUUGGGUAACACUAACUGGAGGACCGAACCGACUAAUGUUGAAAAAUUAGCGGAUGACCUGUGGCUGGGGGUGAAAGGCCAAUCAAACCGGGAGAUAGCUGGUUCUCCCCGAAAGCUAUUUAGGUAGCGCCUCGUGAAUUCAUCUCCGGGGGUAGAGCACUGUUUCGGCUAGGGGGCCAUCCCGGCUUACCAACCCGAUGCAAACUGCGAAUACCGGAGAAUGUUAUCACGGGAGACACACGGCGGGUGCUAACGUCCGUCGUGAAGAGGGAAACAACCCAGACCGCCAGCUAAGGUCCCAAAGUCAUGGUUAAGUGGGAAACGAUGUGGGAAGGCCCAGACAGCCAGGAUGUUGGCUUAGAAGCAGCCAUCAUUUAAAGAAAGCGUAAUAGCUCACUGGUCGAGUCGGCCUGCGCGGAAGAUGUAACGGGGCUAAACCAUGCACCGAAGCUGCGGCAGCGACACUCAGGUGUUGUUGGGUAGGGGAGCGUUCUGUAAGCCUGUGAAGGUGGCCUGUGAGGGUUGCUGGAGGUAUCAGAAGUGCGAAUGCUGACAUAAGUAACGAUAAAGCGGGUGAAAAGCCCGCUCGCCGGAAGACCAAGGGUUCCUGUCCAACGUUAAUCGGGGCAGGGUGAGUCGACCCCUAAGGCGAGGCCGAAAGGCGUAGUCGAUGGGAAACGGGUUAAUAUUCCCGUACUUGGUGUUACUGCGAAGGGGGGACGGAGAAGGCUAUGUUGGCCGGGCGACGGUUGUCCCGGUUUAAGCGUGUAGGUGUGUGUUCCAGGUAAAUCCGGUUCACUUUAACACUGAGGCGUGAUGACGAGGCACUACGGUGCUGAAGCAACAAAUGCCCUGCUUCCAGGAAAAGCCUCUAAGCAUCAGGUAACAUCAAAUCGUACCCCAAACCGACACAGGUGGUCAGGUAGAGAAUACCAAGGCGCUUGAGAGAACUCGGGUGAAGGAACUAGGCAAAAUGGUGCCGUAACUUCGGGAGAAGGCACGCUGACAUGUAGGUGAAGUGAUUUACUCACGGAGCUGAAGUCAGUCGAAGAUACCAGCUGGCUGCAACUGUUUAUUAAAAACACAGCACUGUGCAAACACGAAAGUGGACGUAUACGGUGUGACGCCUGCCCGGUGCCGGAAGGUUAAUUGAUGGGGUCAGCGCAAGCGAAGCUCCUGAUCGAAGCCCCGGUAAACGGCGGCCGUAACUAUAACGGUCCUAAGGUAGCGAAAUUCCUUGUCGGGUAAGUUCCGACCUGCACGAAUGGCGUAAUGAUGGCCAGGCUGUCUCCACCCGAGACUCAGUGAAAUUGAACUCGCUGUGAAGAUGCAGUGUACCCGCGGCAAGACGGAAAGACCCCGUGAACCUUUACUAUAGCUUGACACUGAACAUUGAGCCUUGAUGUGUAGGAUAGGUGGGAGGCUUUGAAGUGUGGACGCCAGUCUGCAUGGAGCCGGCCUUGAAAUACCACCCUUUAAUGUUUGAUGUUCUAACGUGGACCCGUGAUCCGGGUUGCGGACAGUGUCUGGUGGGUAGUUUGACUGGGGCGGUCUCCUCCUAAAGAGUAACGGAGGAGCACGAAGGUUGGCUAAUCCUGGUCGGACAUCAGGAGGUUAGUGCAAUGGCAUAAGCCAGCUUGACUGCGAGCGUGACGGCGCGAGCAGGUGCGAAAGCAGGUCAUAGUGAUCCGGUGGUUCUGAAUGGAAGGGCCAUCGCUCAACGGAUAAAAGGUACUCCGGGGAUAACAGGCUGAUACCGCCCAAGAGUUCAUAUCGACGGCGGUGUUUGGCACCUCGAUGUCGGCUCAUCACAUCCUGGGGCUGAAGUAGGUCCCAAGGGUAUGGCUGUUCGCCAUUUAAAGUGGUACGCGAGCUGGGUUUAGAACGUCGUGAGACAGUUCGGUCCCUAUCUGCCGUGGGCGCUGGAGAACUGAGGGGGGCUGCUCCUAGUACGAGAGGACCGGAGUGGACGCAUCACUGGUGUUCGGGUUGUCAUGCCAAUGGCACUGCCCGGUAGCUAAAUGCGGAAGAGAUAAGUGCUGAAAGCAUCUAAGCACGAAACUUGCCCCGAGAUGAGUUCU